UACAACCAGAUGCUCCGCAGGGCGCAGCUUUAUACGACCGCAGAGGUUGAACCCUGAACGGUUGGGGCAAGUAUGGACACAACAUUCAAGCUGGAUUCAGCUCUAAAUUUGGAUUGUGAUUAAAUAGUUGACACAGCAUAGGUUUCUGACACAGAAUGAAUGUGGUCUAAUGAACUUAAAAAUUUUUUUUUGCCUUUGAGCAAUUCACUAUGCUGUUGAAUAUUAAUCCUCUCAAAAAAAUGUUUGAAGAAAUUUUCUUUUUAUUUAUGAAAUCUGAAAUGAAAAAAAUUGACCCCCAAUUUUUUUUUCACAUCCCCCUUUCCCUUAUUUCAAAACUGAUCUCUAUUCAAAUUUCUAAUGAAGUUUGCAACAAUAACUACUCAUUUAAAU
rnacentral:lncRNA from 1 species